UUAAAAUUGUUCAGUGGAGCCAUGUUAUAGGUCUACAAUUCCUCACAAUAAAGUAAAGACGAGUUGAUAUACGUAAAAGUUUAAUAAUUUACACCUACAAAUCAUGAAGUGAAGGCCCUCAUUUUUUUCUUACUUUGAUCGUGAUUUUAAUCAAAAUACAAAUAUGGCGAUUUUGAGGAUGAAAUAAACGAAGGAUUUCGGUAAUUGGUAUAUUCGUCGGUUGAAAUUUUAUCAAGGAAUCUAGGAUGAUUGUUGUUUCAGUACUCGUACUUGUUUCAUGUAUUCACAACCACAUUCUGCCCACAGAUGGCCAAAAUGUUCAUGAAAAUGAAACGAUUUCUCCAAUUCCCAACUACGAAUUCGUUCCAGGAAUGAUAUCAAAAAAACUCUACGACGAGAUGCAUUCUGAGUGCUUAGAAAUUGAAGGAAAUGUGCUAACUUUAGUACAACAAAUUCAAGCACUUCGAGCUGAGCCAAUAAGUUACUACGAAAAAAUAGCUGAGGGAAUAGCAAAAGAACAGGAGAAUGAAAUGGCACAAGGCACAACGACAACAAACCAUCCAAAUCCAAGUGAAUCAAAUGUGACAGAGAAUGUAACACUUGUUGAAUCUACAAAUAAUACAGUAGUGCAAAAACUAAAACAACAGUUGAAAGAUGCUCUCGAACAAAAUCAACAACUGCAAAAACAAGUUAAUGAUUUGAAAACAGAAAAUAAUACAUUGAACCAUUAUCUCUAUCAAUUCAAAUGGAAAAUAUUUCUAAAGAAUGUGAUACACAGUCAUGAACAAAAUUUAGACAAUCUGGAAUUAUUAAAGAUUUAUCAGCCUUUAUUCCAAAUAAAUGAAACACUUUUAAACGAAACACACGAAUCUUGGAGAUACGACAAGUUAGCAGAAGUAAGAAGACAACGCUGGGAAUUUUACCUCUCAACACCCCCUUACUGUAAAACUUAUUUUAGACGUUUGGUGAAACGUAUCAAUGAAAGUGAAUACACCGUACAAGAAUUCUCCAAAGCAGUAGCGAGAUUCUACAAAAUAAUAUCAUUCGAUCCGUUUUUGGAAACUGUUAAACCAUCUAUACUUAGCGAUGGUGGUGAAUAUUUAUCCUACUACCCGAAAUUAAAUUUUAUUGUUCCUUUAUUAACUGCCGAUUAUCUUAAAACUACGACGAUGAUAAAACAUAUGUGUGAUGAGGUGAAAUCAGGUAAACCACCUGAGAUUAUUUACGAAUACAUAAUGUAUUAGCCCACACAGUGGUAUGCAGAGGUUCUUUUCUCAAUUUGAAAUGAUAAGAUUUACUUGCUGUGAUUACUUUAUAAAUUUCCUACUUCUUAUCAUUACCUACCUACCUACUUCUCAAGUCAGUUUAUGUAAGCUUAAUUAAAAUGUAAGUAUAUUAGUAUUUCUAAUCUAUAAAAUAUACAUAUCAGUUCUUUUUUAUCCGAUUGAAAGUUGAUUACUUCACUCCUCAGAUGAUCGUUACUUUACCUCUGCUUGUUUCAUUUGCCCAUAUCCUGCUCAUAAAUGGAGAAAAUUUCAACAAGAAUGAAACGAUUUUUCCAACUUGCGACCACGAAGGGGUCCCAGGAAUGAUAUCAAGAGCAGCCUACAAUAAAAGGCAAGCCGAAUGCCAGAAAGCUGAAAGCACCGUUUUUCGUCUAGAACGACAAAUACAAGAGCUACGAGACCUUCAUCUAGCUGAGAAAAUGCGACCUGAAGAAAAGGCAAACAAAACGAUCGAAACGAUGAUGAAUAAUACGAGUAUUAGUAUUACUGAAGAGCAAAGACUCAGGCAACAGUUGAAGGAAGUAUACCAACAAAAUCGUCAGCUCCCAAAAGACGUAAAAGAUUUGACAAGAGAAAUUAAUACAACCAAUCAUUACCUAUAUCAAUUCAAAUGGAAAAUACUCAUGCAGCGAGUAAUACACGAUUACGAAGAACAUUUCGAUAAACUGCGCUGGACAUGUACCCAACCAGUCUUCCAAUUAAACCAAACACUUAUAAAUCUGACGAUUGAAUCUUACGAUAAGUUGACUGAACUCAGAAGACUACGGUGGGAAUUUCAUCUAAAAACACCCCCUUAUUGCGAAGUUUAUUUCGGUGCUCUAGUGAAACGAAUUAAAGAAAGUAAAUUCACAGUGGAAGAAUUCUGUAGAACGUUAGCUUCAUUUUACAAAGAUGUAUCACUUAACUCCCAUUUGGAAACUGUACUGACAUCUAAGAAUACUGUAGGAUAUUUUUCCAAUUGCGGAAAAAUGAAGUUAAUUGUUCCUUUGUUAUUGGCUGACUAUCCUAGAACUAAAUUGAUCGAGAUUAUUCUCAGUGAAGUGGAGUCAGGUCAGGUUAACCUACUGGGAUAAAUUAAUCUAUACAGGCCUAAUUAUCACAAUUUUCUUAUCACUGCUUUUCGAAGCAUUAAUUAAAAUGUACACUCAACACUGUACCUAUUGAUAAUUUAAAAUAUGCAUGUUUAUUCAGUAUUCUAGGUAGUUUUUAUCCAAGUAUAUUUAUUUCAACACUAAAGCAUGUUAAGGGUGAUUUUUACUUUAUUUCUGCUUGUUUCAUUUAUCCAUAUUGUGCCCACAAAUGGAAAAAAUAAUAAUAAGAAUAAAACGAUAUUUUCUCCUCGCAGCCGCCAACCGAUUGUUCCAGGAAUGAUAUCAAAAAUACUCUACAGCAAAAGACUAGCUAAAUGUCAGAGGAUGGAAAGUAGAGGUUUUUAUCUAGAACAUCGAGUAGAAGAACUACGAGCCCAUCCAGUUGAAGAAAUGUCAGAAGAAAAGACAAACGAAGUCAUCGAAAUGACAACAAACAAUCCAAAUGGAUCUUCCACGACAAAUAAUUUAACCCUUGGAUACACUUGUACGAAUAAUAGUGAUGAUGAGGAGCAAAGACUGAGGAGAGAGUUAUUUUUAAUAGAUGAAGAAAAUUGUCAACUCCAAAUAGAUGCGAAAAAUCUGAGCAAAGAAAUAAAUGCAACUCACGUUCAUUUUUAUCAAUUCAAAUGGAAAGUACUCAUGAAGCUGGUGAUGGACGAAUACGAAGAGCAUUUCGAAAAACUCCACUUGAAAUACUCUCAACCGAGCUUUCAAUUAGAUGAGCCAAAGUUAAACGAUACAUUCGAUUAUUACGAGGAUUCGCAUUUUGUAGAAAUACGAAAGCAAAGAUGGGAAUUUUACCUCAAAACGCCUCCGUACUGUAUUUAUUUCGAUCGUUUAGUGAAACGUAUAGAAAAAAGUGAUUUCACGCUGGAAGAAUUUUGCGGAAGAAUGGCGAAGUUCUAUAGAGAAAUAUCGUAUAAUUUUUACGCUGUACCUAUGGCUAGUCGAACGAUGCAAACUGAUCCAUAUUUAAUGGAUUACCCAACGUGGAAUUUUAUUGUUCCUUUGUUAUUAGCCGAUUAUCCUAGGACUAAAUUGAUAGAUGCUAUUUUCAGCGAGUUGCAAUCGGGUAAACCACCUUCCUGAGUCAGGAAUUGAGAUGAAUUAAUUUUUAGUAGCAUCGAGUACGUUUCUCAAGAAUGGAAGUGACAAGAUAAAAUAGGUAUCACUUUCUAGUUCUUAUCGGUGAUUUUUAAGUCGAGUUUGUUGAUAAGGUAUGAAAAAGUAGCUUGAAUUAAUGCGAGUAUUUUUUUUCAUCGGAGUUGAUUGUAAGUUUGUCCAUAUUUUAGAGAUUAUAAUCUUGGCGCAAUUUAAAAAUCGAGAUUAGAAGAGCCUCGUAAUUCUGUUGAGUUGAGUACCUAAUAAAGAAACGUCCCUAUAGCUACAAUAGCUCCUCUGAAAACAUUUGUGAGAUCGUAACGAAAAAAGACUCACGAUGAAGAACAUUUUAACGGUGGUUGUCUCAUAUUUAAAUAUCGUUUCCAUCUUUGCACAAGCUACUGAAAAACAUAACGAAACUAAAAUGUACGUUCCUGUGCAUAUCUACGACGAUUUAAGACUAUCAUUCGAUAAGAUAUACUACGAGAAUGUGCGUCUGAAGAAAAACAUCGAUGAAGUGAAAGAGAAAAAUCAGAGACUACUCUUCAUCCAAGGUAAAUACGAUGAUUUACAAAGACUAUACGAGGAGUCAAAUCUCGAGAGAUCAAUUCUAAGAGCUAAUCUGUCCAACAGUAACAACAUCAAAUUCCAAUUAGAAUGGAAAGUAAUCAUCCAACAAACCGUAGACUCCUACGAAAGGGAAUUCGAUAACCUGGAAUUACGUCAUGUGAAUUCCACCUUCCAGUUAGACCAAACGCUACUAGACUCCAUCGGCUACAGCGACGAUUACGACCGUAUAGCCGAACGUAGAAGGCAAAGAUGGAUAUUCUACUUGGAAAAUCCUCCUGCAACGUUUUGGGAUUUUCACGAUUUAAUUAAACGGAUUGAAAAAAGCAACUGUACCAAAGAAGAAUUCGCCAAAGGGUUGGCAAUAUUCUAUAAGCGGUUAACGAAGGUCAUUUUCGAUGAAGCGGAGGAAUCUGAUAAAUCGGCGCUUACGAUGUCCAGCUAUAAGGAUGUGAAGUUUGUUAUCCCUUUGCUGGUGACUCCGUAUCCUAAGACUGAAACGAUAACGAGAAUGUUGCGAGAGUGGAGCGAACCUGAAGUACCAAUCACUGGUAUCAAGGAGAAAAAAAAUUAUGUUGGGUAAAUAAUCGAACAUUUUCAUUGUAAGAAUUAUUUCAAGUCAAUAAUAAAUGUAAAUACAUAUUUUUAAAUACACAUAGAUCAUACAUCA